rnacentral:misc_RNA from 1 species
GUAUUUUAAUUUGUAUGUUGCGUUGUUCGCAAAGAUGUUCAGGCGGGUAGAAUUGGUUUGAACCGUUUGAGAAGGGGCAGGCCGCCGUAAGACGGACGCAUCAUGUGCGCCGCACAAACAGUCAGAGAAUUGCUCCCCCGAAACCUGCCACUGUACAAUUGUUCCUGAUGCGACAGUGGUUCUUUUCUUUAUUAACCAGAGACAUUUCAUUGUUAAUGAUCCUUCCGCAGGUUCACCUACGGAAA